rnacentral:tRNA from 1 species
AAGAUACUAGUAAAGCAUUACACUGCCUUGUCAAGGCAGAGCCGCGGGUUAAACUCCCGCGUAUCUUA